rnacentral:rRNA from 1 species
UGAACGCUGGCGGCAUGCUUUACACAUGCAAGUCGGACGGCAGCACAGAGAAGCUUGCUUCUCGGGUGGCGAGUGGCGAACGGGUGAGUAACAUAUCGGAACGUACCGAGUAGUGGGGGAUAACUGAUCGAAAGAUCAGCUAAUACCGCAUACGUCUUGAGAGAGAAAGCAGGGGACCUUCGGGUCUUGCGCUAUUCGAGCGGCCGAUAUCUGAUUAGCUAGUUGGUGGGGUAAAGGCUCACCAAGGCGACGAUCAGUAGCGGGUCUGAGAGGAUGAUCCGCCACACUGGGACUGAGACACGGCCCAGACUCCUACGGGAGGCAGCAGUGGGGAAUUUUGGACAAUGGGCGCAAGCCUGAUCCAGCCAUGCCGCGUGUCUGAAGAAGGCCUUCGGGUUGUAAAGGACUUUUGUCAGGGAAGAAAAGGCUGUUGCUAAUACCAGCGGCUGAUGACGGUACCUGAAGAAUAAGCACCGGCUAAC